rnacentral:misc_RNA from 1 species
UUAAGUUCAGCGGGUAUCCCUACCUGAUCCGAGGUCAAAAUAAAAAAGUAAAGCUUAUGGAGGCCACCUUAUGCUGCCAGAGACGCAAUUCUACUGCGCUCAAAGCCGCUGAAGUGGCUGCCAAUUAUUUUAAGGCGAGUCCAUGCCGACGGCAGGACAGACACCCAACACCAAGCUGUGCUUGAAGGUGAAAAUGACGC